rnacentral:rRNA from 1 species
AGAGUUUGAUCAUGGCUCAGAAUGAACGUUGGCGGCGUGGAUUAGGCAUGCAAGUCGUACGGGCCGCAAGGCCAGUGGCGCAAGGGUGAGUAAGGCGACGGUAACCAACCCCAUGACUGGGUAUAGCCGCGGGAAACUGCGGGUAAUCCCCAGCGACGUCCCGGGGGGGCAUCCCCUCAGGACCAAAGCUCCGGCGUCGUGGGACGGGCUGUCGUGGUAUUAGGUUGUUGGCGGGGUAACGGCCCACCAAGCCUGCGAUGCCUACCGGGCGUGCGAGCGUGGCCCGGCACACUGGGACUGAGACACUGCCCAGACUCCUACGGGAGGCUGCAGUCGAGAAUCUUCGGCAAUGGGCGCAAGCCUGACCGAGCGACGCCGCGUGGAGGACGAAGGCCUUCGGGUUGUAAACUCCUGUCGAGGGGGAAGAAGGCCGGGUAACCGGCUUGACUGAUCCCUGGAGGAAGCACGGGCUAAGUUCGUGCCAGCAGCCGCGGUAAGACGAACCGUGCGAACGUUAUUCGGAAUCACUGGGCUUAAAGCGCGUGUAGGCGGGACGGCACGUCGGUCGCUGAAAUCCCCCGGCUCAACCGGGGAACGGGCGCCGAUACGACCGUCCUGGAGGGACGUAGGGGGACCUGGAACUUCCGGUGGAGCGGUGAAAUGCGUUGAGAUCGGAAGGAACGCCCGUGGCGAAAGCGAGGUCCUGGACGUUUUCUGACGCUGAGACGCGAAAGCCAGGGGAGCGAACGGGAUUAGAUACCCCAGUAGUCC